rnacentral:rRNA from 1 species
GACGAACGCUGGCGGCGUGCUUAACACAUGCAAGUCGAACGGAAAGGCCCUGCUUUUGUGGGGUGCUCGAGUGGCGAACGGGUGAGUAACACGUGAGUAACCUGCCCUUGACUUUGGGAUAACUUCAGGAAACUGGGGCUAAUACCGGAUAGGAGCUCCUGCUGCAUGGUGGGGGUUGGAAAGUUUCGGCGGUUGGGGAUGGACUCGCGGCUUAUCAGCUUGUUGGUGGGGUAGUGGCUUACCAAGGCUUUGACGGGUAGCCGGCCUGAGAGGGUGACCGGGCACAAUGGGACUGAGGGACGGACCAGUAUCCUACCGGGGGCAACAGGGGGGAAUAUUGCACAAUGGGCCGGAGCCUGAUGCAGCGACCCCGCGUGCGGGAAGCCGGCCUUCGGGGUAUAAACCGCUUUCGCCUGUGACGAAGCGUGAGUGACGGUAAUGGGUAAAGAAGCACCGGCUAACUACGUG